CCUACGGGAGGCAGCAGUGAGGAAUAUUGGUCAAUGGACGAAAGUCUGAACCAGCCAUGCCGCGUGCAGGAUGACGGCUCUAUGAGUUGUAAACUGCUUUUGUAUUAGGGUAAACACACCUACGUGUAGGGGCUUGAACGUAUAAUACGAAUAAGGAUCGGCUAACUCCGUGCCAGCAGCCGCGGUAAUACGUAGGUGGCAAGCGUUGUCCGGAUUUACUGGGUGUAAAGGGCGUGUAGCUGGGUUGAAAAGUCAGUUGUGAAAUCUUGCGGCUUAACCGCAGAAGUGCAUUUGAAACUGGCGAUCUUGAGUACUGGUGAGGCAGACGGAAUUCGUGGUGUAGCGGUGAAAUGCGUAGAUAUUAGGAGGAACACCAGUUGCGAAGGCGGUCUGCUAGACAGCAACUGACGGUGAGGCGCGAAAGCGUGGGUAUCAAACAGGAUUAGAUACCCUUGUAGUC
rnacentral:rRNA from 1 species